UGAGAUGCAAAUUGAAGGGAUCAGAUGAAGCGAGCAAAAAUCAGGUACAGAAACUUGUCCCUGCUUGCUGUAACAUUUACAGAGCAAAGGCUGUCAAGUUUAGUCUUAGAAUGGGAUCCAAGAUGGACAGAAUAACUAGCAGACUAGCUGAUAUUUUGAAACAAAAAAUCCAACUUGGUUUAGAAAAAAUCCCAGGAGGGCAAUCUACUAAUCAAUGGCAGAGACUACCUAGUACAUCUGUGCCGACAGAAACUCAAGUUUAUGGCAGAAGUGAAGAUAAAGAAAAGAUGCUUGAUUGGUUGUUAAGGGAUGAAUCAAAUGAUGUCAAUUUUCAAGUUAUUUCUAUUGUUGGUAUGGGUGGGGUGGGAAAAACAACACUUGCUCAGCUACUAUACAAUGAUGAUGCAGUAGGACACUUUAAUCCAAAAGCAUGGGUUUGUGUAUCCGAGGAGUUUGAUGUUUUGAGAAUAACUAGGACAAUUCUUGAGUCAGCUACUUCAUUGCCUUGUGAUCUAAAGGACUUUAAUCAAAUACAAGUUAAACUAAGAGAUGCUUUAGCUGGGAGAAAGUUUUUGAUCGUUUUAGAUGAUGUUUGGAACAAGAACUAUAGUGAGUGGAACAGGCUACAGCCACCAUUUCGAGUUGGAGCACCAGGAAGUAAAAUAAUUGUAACAACACGGGACAGCAAUGUUGCUUUGUUAAUGGGAACCACUAAAAUUCACUGCUUGGAGCAAAUGUCAAAUGAUGACUGUUGGUCAGUAUUUGCACAGCAUGCAUUUGAGAAUAAAGACCUAACUGCACAACCAAAUCUAGAAAUAAUUGGCAGAAAAAUUGUUAAGAAGUGUAAAGGCUUGCCUUUGGCCGCAAGGACACUUGGGGGCCUACUACGAUGCAAAGAAAGAGAUUGCGAGUGGGAAGAUAUAUUAAAUAGCGAUUUAUGGAGUCUAUCAGAUGAGGAAAGUGAAAUUCUACCUGUUCUGAGGUUGAGCUAUCACCAUCUCCCUUCUCAGUUGAAGAGGUGCUUUUCCUUCUGUUCAGUCCUCCCGAAGGACUAUGAAUUUGAAGAGAAGGAGCUGGUCUUGUUAUGGAUGGCAGAAGGUUUGGUUCAACAACCUGAAGAGAAUAAGCAAAUAGAAGAUGUAGGUGGUGAAUACUUCUGUGAGCUAUUAUCAAGGUCAUUAUUUCAACGAUCAAGUAGGGAUCAGUCAAAAUUUGUGAUGCAUGACCUCAUCAGUGAUCUAGCUCAAUGGGUUGCAGGAGAUGUAAGCUUCACAUUGGAGGAUAAAGUGGAUGGUAACAAGAUGAAAA
rnacentral:lncRNA from 1 species